UACGUAGGGUGCAAGCGUUGUCCGGAAUUAUUGGGCGUAAAGAGCUCGUAGGCGGCUUGUCACGUCGACUGUGAAAACCCGGGGCUCAACUCCGGGCCUGCAGUCGAUACGGGCUGGCUUGAGUCCGGUAGGGGAGUGUGGAAUUCCUGGUGUAGCGGUGAAAUGCGCAGAUAUCAGGAGGAACACCGGCGGCGAAGGCGGGUCUCUGGGCCGAUACUGACGCUGAGGAGCGAAAGCGUGGGGAGCGAACAGG
rnacentral:rRNA from 1 species